CCCAGUCCUAACCUCCCUACCUCCAGGUGGAGGAUAUUCUGUUCUCUGCCUGGCACCUUCCUGGGAGGCAGGGUGGCCAGGGCACAGGGCUCUGCUGGUCCUGCAGGGUACAAGGGAUCUUCCAUACUUCCUCCGUCUUGGGAAGGAGAAGCAGCAAUGCUGUGUCUCAGCUACAACCUGGAGGGAGAGCCUUUGCCCUGCCUACCCCUCCUUAUAGUGUUGGCAGUGUGGGCAGCCCUGUGCUGUUUGAUCUUGGGCCGCUUGCAUCUCUAGAUAUCUAUGAACAUAUUUACUGACUCAGGAGCAGUAGCCAAUGAAACGCCACAUGUGGUAGGCAGCUUUACUUGUUGACAAUGAUGUGUGCACUCCCCGAUGGCUGCACUCCUCUGGAGGUGGAGAAGACAUCCCUAUUGGCCUUGGGCUGGGCCAUGGGACUUACCUUGUCAAGUGGAGUAUGAGCAGACAUGCCCUAUGCCAUGGCAGAGCUGAAGAUGCUAAUGAGCUGGUGUGGUUUGGCUGUGUCCCCUUCAGAGCCUGUGCUCCACAGUGAAAACAGGUUAUCUUAGACGAUGGCCAUCCCGUUGCUAUGGGUCACUGAAUGAAAAGAUAAAUGGAGAUCUGUGGAGACCACCAGAGCCAAAGCCAAUUCACAGCCCUCAAGAAAUAAAUGUUUGUGUUUGUAAGCCACUCAGAUUUGGGAGUUAUAUGUUGCUGCAGCAAAAUCUGACUAAUCCAGUCAGAUUCUGUGCUAAGAACUUUCAAAUGUUACCUCAU
rnacentral:lncRNA from 1 species